AGUGAACGCUGGCGGCGUGCUUAACACAUGCAAGUCGAACGAGAACGGCUCUAGCUUGCUAGAGUGUCAGCUAAGUGGCGGACGGGUGAGUAAUGUAUAGCUAACGUGCCCCUUGGAGAGGGAUAACAGUUGGAAACGACUGCUAAUACCUCAUACUCCUUCUGUAUUAAUUACAGUUGGGAAAUGUUAUUUCGCCAAGGGAUCGGGCUAUAUGGUAUCAGGUAGUUGGUGGGGUAAGAGCCCACCAAGCCGAUGACGCCUAGCUGGUCUGAGAGGAUGAUCAGCCACACUGGAACUGAGACACGGUCCAGACUCCUACGGGAGGCAGCAGUGGGGAAUAUUGCACAAUGGAGGAAACUCUGAUGCAGCAACGCCGCGUGGAGGAUGACGCAUUUCGGUGUGUAAACUCCUUUUAUAUGGGAAGAUAAUGACGGUACCAUAUGAAUAAGCACCGGCUAACUCCGUGCCAGCAGCCGCGGUAAUACGGAGGGCGCAAGCGUUAUUCGGAAUCACUGGGCGUAAAGGACGCGUAGGCGGACUAGAAAGUCAGGUGUGAAAGCCUACAGCUUAACUGUAGAACUGCACUUGAAACUCCUAGUCUAGAGUAUGGGAGGGGCAGAUGGAAUUAGUGGUGUAGGGGUAAAAUCCGUAGAUAUCACUAGGAAUACCGAAAGCGAAGGCGAUCUGCUGGAACAUUACUGACGCUAA
rnacentral:rRNA from 1 species